rnacentral:rRNA from 1 species
GUGACGAGUGGCGGACGGGUGAGUAAUGUCUGGGGAUCUGCCCGAUAGAGGGAAAUAACCACUGGAAACGGUGGCUAAUACCGCAUAACGUCGCAAGACCAAAGAGGGGGACCUUCGGGCCUCUCACUAUCGGAUGAACCCAGAUGGGAUUAGCUAGUAGGCGGGGUAAUGGCCCACCUAGGCGACGAUCCCUAGCUGGUCUGAGAGGAUGACCAGCCACACUGGAACUGAGACACGGUCCAGACUCCUACGGGAGGCAGCAGUGGGAAUAUUGCACAAUGGGCGCAAGCCUGAUGCAGCCAUGCCGCGUGUAUGAAGAAGGCCUUCGGGUUGUAAAGUACUUUCAGCGGGGAGGAAGGCGAUGCGGUUAAUAACCGCGUCGAUUGACGUUACCCGCAGAAGAAGCACCGGCUAACUCCGUGCCAGCAGCCGCGGUAAUACGGAGGGUGCAAGCGUUAAUCGGAAUUACUGGGCGUAAAGCGCACGCAGGCGGUCUGUUAAGUCAGAUGUGAAAUCCCCGGGCUUAACCUGGGAACUGCAUUGAAAC